rnacentral:rRNA from 1 species
UACGUAGGGCGCAAGCGUUGUCCGGAAUUAUUGGGCGUAAAGAGCUCGUAGGCGGCUUGUCACGUCGGGUGUGAAAGCCCGGGACUUAACCCCGGGUCUGCAUUCGAUACGGGCUAGCUAGAGUGUGGUAGGGGAGAUCGGAAUUCCUGGUGUAGCGGUGAAAUGCGCAGAUAUCAGGAGGAACACCGAUGGCGAAGGCAGGUCUCUGGGCCAUUACUGACACUGAGAAGCGAAAGCAUGGGGAGCGAACAGG